rnacentral:lncRNA from 1 species
AUUAAAGCAUGCAUUGAUUUUGCACUUGGGCUUUUAUUUUGUUUGUUUGUUUAGAAGUCUAUCUUUUCCACUAAAAUAGGAGUUCCUUAUAAAAUAGGCUGUUACUUAAAUCACCUUCGUGUCCACAUCACUCUAAUUUUGCAAAGUGCCUUACAUAUAAAACCUGCAAAUGAAUGAUUGCUGAAUAAACAUAGAAUAAAAAUGCAGAAUAUUAGAGAGUUUCAUCAGAGAUGAGGAAAAAGUAAAAUCUUCUACUGCUUCAUAGACACUGCAACAAUAUUUUGUUAUUUGCAUAUCUCUCUUUUAUAGAAUUCUGAUCAUUAGCAAUUUCUUUUAGGCCAAUCUUAAAACCACAGGUGCAAUCUGACCUCUUUUUACCAUCUCCCUCAUUCAAGCCAACACUUGCUACUUGCUCUUGUCUGGACUAUUGCAGUAGCCUCAACUGUUCUCUCUGCUUUUGAGUUUGACUUUCUUCAGUCUGUUUUUACUAAAAGAACAGAGUAGUCCUGUUAAUACACAGGACAGAACAUUUCAUUCAUCUUUUCAACAGCUUCCAGUGGUUUUCCAUCUCAGCAGUGUAAACAAGUUUUCUUUCUGUUCCUAACUAGCCAGACAUGCUCCCACCUCAGGAAAUUUCCAUGUGUUACUGUCUCUGCCUAGGACAUUCUUCCCACCAAUAUUAUUUGCUCCUUUUCCACCUUCAGUACAUAUUAUAUAUGUACUGAAUAUAUAACUUCUCAGUACAUUAUUUCCCUAGGCUUAUUAUCUAGACUGAAAACCCCUGCCUGCACAGGGCCCAGCUCCCUUCCUAUCUUUUUUUUUUCUCUCUGAGCAUUUAUUAUCAUUCAUUUAUAUACAACAUAUUUAUUCAUUUGUAAAAAUUUUGUAUGCUAUACUUAUUCAGCUUGUUUCUGGCACAUCUUACUAGAAUGGCAGCUCAAUUAAGGCAGGAGUUUCCUGUUUUGUUUUCUGUUGUGACCCUAACACUUAAAACAGUGCCUGUGCUCAAUAAAUAUUUGUACAAUGAAUAAAUAAAUGUGAUCAUAUAUAUGUAUAUAUAUAUAUAUAUUUGCACCUAUUUUAUUAAAUCAAAUGUCACAGUUACAUUAUUACAGUUAUUUAAAUAUGACAUAUAAUAUCAUAGGUGGGACUCUAUUUUGUUAGUUUGUCCUAUAAAUUAUUUAUUGCAAAAUGUUUGCCUAUUAUUUAAUUGCAAUUUUUCUUAAUUAUGUAAUACAUUUUUCAUGUUUAAUUUUCUGUACUCCUAUCACUAAUUCAAAUCAAAACACUAUUUUAUUAAACUGUCUGAAGAAAUAUGCACUGAACUAUUGCAUAGGUAAUUCAUAGCUCUUCCAAGGACCCACAGGUUUUGAAAAACAGAACUGUGUUUUAUGCUGAAAUCAUAAAUUCUCUUUCCAGGCAUAAUAAUUUUCAUACUGAAAUGGUGAAUUGUCUUUCCAGGUAUACCAAUUUACUAUGCCUAAUCCCAAAGACUCAUAGUAAGUCGCUUUAAUUA